rnacentral:lncRNA from 1 species
UGUUCAGUAUACAGCAAAUUUGCUUUAUUUCAUAUAAUUCACAUCAUCCAGUCAAUGUCUCUUUUAAUUCAAUGUUGAAUAAAAUAUUUACUUGAAGUUAUGGAGAAAAAAAGAAUGGCUAUUUUGAAUUAAAGUGUGUAGAACACUUGAACUAUUCAUUUAUUAUAACAACUUAUCUGUCCACAGUGACACAUCAUUCUUGUCUGGGAUUACUGAACCAAAAUGGCAAAUAUAAUUAAAUACUCAAAUUCUCAGAGAAAUUAAGCUAUAUGGGUUUUUCUAAAUAUUAUUCAUCUAUGUCAAAGGAAAAUCAAACCCAAAAAUUCAAGCAGUUAUUCUAAUAAGAAAGCAAUACCAGGAAAUUUUGAAGUUUAUGUUCAAGUUAACAAAAUCUAAAUAUUUAUUAGGUACGUCAAGAGUAAGUCAAAGGUGCAUCCCUGAACUAAAGAUACUGCAUCUGAGAAUGAUAGCACAUCUCUGGCAAUUUGAAACAGUUAAAUGUUUGUACUAAGACAGAUAUUUAUAUUCAUUAAAAAUACAGAAUUUCAAUCAUGGGAUUCUGCACUUUCAAAUAGAAAAUACUCCAAAUCUGGUGUAUACAUAGAUUUCACCCAAAGUCUCAAUCAUGAAAAUCUUGACUUGCAGGAUCAGGCCACUUGUUAGAUCAGCAACAUCUGAAUUAUUUUAAGUUAGUAUUACAAAGGGUGAACAAAUCUUGACAGUGAACUGUGCUAUUAAAACAGAGAACAGGAUGGAAAGUUCUAGAGUCUGAUAUUUCACUUCAAGGAUUGCUUGAAGUAAAACUCUCAAAUGAUAUAAAAAUUUAUUUUCAGAUUAUUUUGAUCUCUUUGUAAAGAAAACAAAAUGCUGUAGUAAAUGGAGGAUAAAAUGGUAUGACUUUAUAAGCAAUGAAAUACAGAUGUAGCAAAGGUACCUGGCAUGACACCGAUUUUCCUUAGAUGAUUCUAUGUCUUCAACUUAAGAAAACCAAAACUAUAAAUUCUGUAUGGAGGAGAUAAUGUAGCAAGAUUUUGAUGUAGGAUAGUUUAUUACCUAAAGAAGUAUGUACAAAUUCUAAACAUGAAAAUAGUGAGCAAAAGAAAUCAGACUCUAUUUACAUUUUUUUUACAAAUUGUUUUUACAAGUGUAUUUCUUUUUUUUUUUUUUUCUAAAUAACGGGACAAACACGUAAGAGCAAUCUUUUUGUAUUACAUACAUAAAUAAAUACUGAUUUUAAAUGAGUGUUAUGGGAACAUAAUUUCUACAGCCAAUCUGGGUAACAGAAGCAGUUCUGUUACCUCUACUACGAUAUAAUUAAAUCAGAAGGAAAAAUUUUACAUAUAGAGCUCUGAUAAUUACUUUGUAAAUUGUACCUUACUAAUAUAUUCAGUAGAGGUAAUACAGUCAUUACAUUUCAUGCCCACAACUGAACAAUGAGUUUUGGCAUGCAAAACCAUAUAUAAUCAUUAACAUCGGCAGGUAUUCAUUUACAUUUUUUAAAUAAAGGGUUUUCUUAAGUAUUUUAAACUACAUGCAACAGCUUAUUAGCAUCAUUUUCCUGGUUACAAUGCACAAGUUUGCAUAACAUUAUUUUUAGUAAUUGAUGUUCACAGGUGCUGCUCAAAAGGGUAGGAAUAUACUUGGCACACAGUAUAAGAAAAUGAAUUAAUAAAUAAGUCAAUAUCACGAUGACAUUUACAUAUACACAAGACAAAAGUAAAACGUUUCAUGGUGUUGUACACAGAAUUUGGAACUGUCUGGGCCUCACACUUUGUUCUAUAAGGCCCUGAUUCAAUAUACUAUUUAAGCAAAUUUUGACAUCUGUGCUUUCUGCAAGGCAUUGCUAAAGCUCAUUCUUAACUGCACAGGUUUACUUCCAUCCCACUGACUUCUUUCGUGCAUAUGAAAAUUUCCUCUUCUGCACACCUUCCUAAAUCAGGGCCUGCUUAUCUGAAAUUCGCUGGCUCCAGUUUGGAGCAUGGAGAUGAAAGCAUUGUGGAAUAAAUUGACUUAGUAUUAAAGUUUCUAUGCAGUUCUGCUAAUAUGAACGGUAAAAUUCUCAUUCAGAUUAGCAAUCGGUAUUUUUUUAUCUUUGUGUGUGACCAUGUCAAACAUUAAU